AAGACCAAAUUUCAAAUCUAAAGUUCAGCCGCGAUUUUUCUUCUUCUCAUUUUCCUCUAUUGCAAACCCUAACGUUUCUCACUCUUCCGGCGCCGUUCAUCCUCGCCGUCGCCGCAGUUGCUCCGCCGUUUCUCUCAAAGUCAUCGGGGCUGCCACCGUGCUCGCUCACCAUCAUCCCCUCCACAACCCUAAUCCGCCGCCACGGCGCACGCGCUAAAACCUAAGCUCAGAUUCAUCUUCUACUCGCCAAGCCUCAAUCACUACUGUUCCAGCUGCCUUCUCCAUUGCUUCCAGCAAUAAGAAUCAUCAAUUUCUACAUUCUGGAAAUCUGAGGAGAUGGUGUUGGUGCAGAAACCUAGCUGAACACCGCUUCGUGUUAUUCUCUUCAGAACUGCAGUUUUGGACAAGAGGUUCCCCACUUGAAUGAUUGGUGGAUUUUUAUUAUUAUUAUUUUUAUUGUCAGCCUUAAAAUGAGAUGCAGAUCAUGUGACCUUUGCAAUUUCUGGAUAGGAAUUCCCAAGUGAUUAAGAAAAGUGAUUUUUGGUGAUGUUUAAGAAGAUAGAAGAACUAUCUGACAUUGAUUUUUAAAUAUUGUUGGAAUUGAUAUUCUUUGCUGCAUUUUGUGGAUAUGUUCAUUUGUGUUGAGUAUUUUAAUUAGAUUUCUGCCAUCUAGGAUUUGAAGUCUUGAAGCAAUAAUGGCUUUCAUCUAUGUGAAUUGUCCAAUAAUUUCUCAAUGCAUUCAACUGGCCAAAGUUGCUGCUGUCAAAUCUAGUAUUGUACUUGUGCAUAUGAAUGGUUAUUAUUGAAUGAAGCAAUCAAAAUGUACUAAUGGUGUAAUGAAAAUAAAUUUGUGGCUUUAUUUAUAUAUUUUUUUGCUAAAUAUAUUUCACACAAUUCUUGGCAUUUUAGGGGAUAUAUUUGAUAUUUCACCGGCUGCAGUGGUGAUUAACUGAUCAGAUUCAGCGCCUUGCCUCCUCUUUAUAGCAUAACAGGCUGCAGCGAAGGUAGUCCCAGUGUCGAGUGUGAUAUAUGACUCUUUUCGUGCUUUACAUGUGAAGAAGGAUGGGACUUACACCAAUAAGAAGUCUGAAAGA